GAGGAAUAUUGGUCAAUGGGCGCAAGCCUGAACCAGCCAUGCCGCGUGAAGGAUGACAGCGCUACGCGUUGUAAACUUCUUUUAUACAGGAAGAAACGCUUCUACG
rnacentral:rRNA from 1 species